CUAAGUUGAUCGUGUUUAUGACGUCGAAUAUCGACGUCAUAAACACCAAAGUUGAUCGUGUUUAUGACGUCGAAUAUCGACGUCAUAAACAUCUAAG